GACGGAGGAUGCAAGCGUUAUCCGGAAUGAUUGGGCGUAAAGCGUCCGCAGGUGGCAGUUCAAGUCUGCUGUCAAAGACCGGGGCUUAACUUCGGAAAGGCAGUGGAAACUGAACAGCUGGAGUAUGGUAGGGGCAGAGGGAAUUCCUGGUGUAGCGGUGAAAUGCGUAGAGAUCAGGAAGAACAUCGGUGGCGAAGGCGCUCUGCUGGACCAUAACUGACACUCAGGGACGAAAGCUAGGGGAGCGAAUGGG
rnacentral:rRNA from 1 species